GUAUUGUUGAGAGCCAUUCAUUAUUAUAUUCUAAUCCUUAGAUUGCAAAAUAAUUCACUGUACCUGUCUGGGAUUCUGGCUGUGGGGAUGAAAAUGGAUGGAAGCUGCCUGAAGAGGAUGACUGCUGUGGUGGGCUGGUUUCAGGAGUAGGGCUCGGUGUGACGGU